AGUACAUCAGUAUUCAGGAGUCCAACUGCCAUUUGCAAAUCUGUGUGGAUGAAUGCAGUCCAAAAUUUACAAGUUGGAUCUAAACAUCAAAUUCUGUUUACUGUAGAAUUUAAGAUUUGGAGGGCAGCCCAGGGUAAGAGUGGGACCUUUAGGCACUUGAACUUCACACUGAUGGAGCUUGAGGAGCAUCUUGACAGCGAUGGAAAUGAACUUGAGAUUGAAAACUGAAGUGAAGAGGAGCAGUUCAGCUAAUGCUGUGGCUGCCCAAAGUACAGAACAUUGCUGGAAUCAGCUGCAUCACAACUCCGGUCACUCAUGAUGAACGUCAGCCUCUGGAGGGCAAACCAGCAACAGUGCCACUUCCACUCUGGCAGACAGAGUACUUAGGGAAGAAACGUGCAUCACUGGAAAUAUCCUUUGUGUUUCAAAACUGACCUCUCUCCCCUGAAUGCACUUCACAGGGCAUGAUGCUAUCGGACGUACACAGAAGUUAGUGUGUGGAGAAUGAACAAAAGCAUAGAUAAGUUGUUAUACGCAGUCCCGGAAGGAGCUGUAUACCUGCUUAGCUUCAUAUUAACUGGGAUAACAGAAUGCAGUAAUGAGUAAAUAUUUAUUGUCAGCAUAGGAUUUUGAUGACAAUAAUAAGAGUUCUUCUGUGGGUAGCCCCUUCAUUGCUCGAGCAAUGGAAGGAAAUCAAUCCAACCCCUGAACCAUAGGAAAUGUGGAUCUGAUCUUCACCAGCCUGCUGGGUGCCUGUAACACACUCAAAGUGUAACCUUACCAAGCUGGUUCUGCCACAGAUACUAUGCUGCAGCUGAUAGCCUGCUCCUCUGCACAGAGGUGCAGCCAGAUCCCUGACUUUCAGCACUCCGCCAAUGAUUCCCAUUUUGCCUUGGGUAUAAGCAAAUAGUUAAAUUUCCCAAGAGCAAUUCACACAUGUGGUGACAUUUGUUAGUGUGUGUCCAUCCUUGGCUGAGCAGCUGCAUGCUUUGUCUGGUGUCCAGAGUCAAAACUUGUGCAGACACAAGUUGAUGGAGGUCCAUUCAAGCUUUCUUCUUCCAGUAGCUGAAGAGAACAAAUGAAAUACUUUCUCUUCACAUCACUUAUAUUUUCCUGGAUCUAUGCACCCUUUUGAGGGUUCCAGAUCUCUCAGUUGGCAGAUAGAGGCCGCUCUCUGUUGCGGCUCAGAGGAAUGAAUCACUGGAAUGAUUCUCUGCAGAGAUGAUACAUCUCAUCCAACUGUGUUCCUUUGUGGCACGAAUGCAGAGAAAGGGUAGAGGACAUCCACCAGGCAUGUACCCUACUUAUGUGUAAAGAUGAUAAAAUUGAGAAGCUGUCAGAUUGUACAGUAAACUACUAAUUAAGUAGGAAUCUAAGGAACGCUCUAUGACCUAGAUGUUCAACCUAACCUGAGCUGUGAAACCUUGCAGUCCAUCCAGGAAGAAUGGUUACUUGGCUUUUUUUUCAGAUAGCAACUGCUACUUUAGGUGUCUUCUGCCUCAGUCUAGGCUGACAUUACAAAGUCUAACUUUACAGACUCAGUCAUAUUUUGCAUUUGUUUGGGUGAGUCUGAAUUUCAUCUGCAAUGAAAUAAAGAAUUGGAAGCAGGACAAUUACUUAGGAAACUGAAAAUGCCAGAGGAACUCUUGGAUGUGCUUCUCUUCCCCAUCUUACUGCAUGCAAACAACAGCUUUCCUUACAAUUUUCAGCAGAAAGUAUUUGGAACUCUCAUUUUGACUUCCUGAUUUGAGUGUGUGCUUGAUGCCAUACAAGAGCCUACAGUUACCAGAAGCGUUGAAACAUAAUGCUGUGCUUCAACAUGAAUAUUCAAGCUCUUUCAGGAGGACACUGCUAAGAUCAUUACAAUUGCUAAUUAUAAAAAGUGGUAGCCAAAACUCCCGCUUCCUUCCAUUAUUCUUACAUCCUGCAGAUGUCCUGAUUUAGCCAGUUAAUCACUGGAUUCUCUUGGGAAUCAUCUGGUUGUUCAGUUGCAUUGUUGUCUUUUUAUUAAAAAGUUGCUUUG
rnacentral:lncRNA from 1 species